GGGGGAAUGGUCUUAAACUGAGACAGGGGAGGUUUAGGUUGGAUAUUAGGAGGAAGUUUUUCACACAGAGGGUGGUGACGCACUGAACAGGUUGCCCAAGGAGGCUGUGGAUGCCCCAUCCCUGGAGGCAUUCAAGGCCAGGCUGGAUGUGGCUCUGGGCAGCCUGGUCUGCUGGUUGGUGACCCUGCACAUAGCAGGGGGUUGAAACUGGAUGAGCAUUGUGGUCCUUUUUAACCCAGGCCAUUCUAUGAUUCUAUG
rnacentral:lncRNA from 1 species